GACGAACGCUGGCGGCGUGCUUAACACAUGCAAGUCGAACGAUGAAGCCUAGCUUGCUAGGUGGAUUAGUGGCGAACGGGUGAGUAAUACGUGAGUGACCUACCUUUGACUCUGGGAUAAGCCUGGGAAACUGGGUCUAAUACCGGAUACGACCAAUCUCCGCAUGGGGUGUUGGUGGAAAGCGUUAUGGAGUGGUUUUAGAUGGGCUCACGGCCUAUCAGCUUGUUGGUGAGGUAAUGGCUUACCAAGGCGACGACGGGUAGCCGGCCUGAGAGGGUGACCGGCCACACUGGGACUGAGACACGGCGCAGACUCCUACGGGAGGCAGCAGUGGGGAAUAUUGCACAAUGGGCGCAAGCCUGAUGCAGCGACGCCGCGUGAGGGAUGACGGCCUUCGGGUUGUAAACCUCUGUUAGCAUCGAAGAAGCGAAAGUGACGGUAGGUGCAGAGAAAGCGCCGGCUAACUACGUG
rnacentral:rRNA from 1 species